ACCUCAGGAGCAGGAGCUCUCCCGUAGACUCAUGGCUCCGGCGCCCGGGUACCUUCCCGUCCCGCCAGGACACGUCCAGCCGCCCCCAGUCUCAGUCGUCUGCUUGACCUCAGGAGCAGGAGCUCUCCCGUAGACUCAUGGCUCCGGCGCCCGGGUACCUUCCCGUCCCGCCAGGAUUCGCAGGAGCCCCACAUCAUUGGCGCCCCCUUGGGCAGCCUCCAUGAACGCCAUCUCACGAGAUCCAUGGCGCCACUUGAAGCUCUGUAGCCGCCAUUGACACCCGAGGUCCACUGCGCUCGUAGCCCUGUAGCAGCCUUCAUCCACUACCACCGAAGCCGCAGGUCUAAAGGAACAUCAAGUAUGGCCUCGCCGAUGACGAGCCAGAGCACUGGAUCCACGACACUCCGGCGCCCCUCGCACGGAUGCGGAGGAACCACGCCGCUGUAUGUGCCCAGCCACGGUUGUGGAGAAGCUAUCUCCGUUAUCUUGUUCGUGUAGCUUUCAGAUUCGCGUUAGCAGGUUGUUUCAUGUUAGCACCUCUGGGUUAUAACCAGGAGACCAAUGGUCAAAUCCCCGUGGGUGCGCUUUUAUUUUGCAUUUUCGCAUCUCCAAAGGAUCAGCUAUUGCCCUAUUUUAUCAACUAGUGCCAGAAAA